CAUCGAUAGUAUGUAAACGCCCAUCGUCGGAACCCACGGAUUUUCUCUCCGUUAAACUGCAUUCACUGGUCACAAUAAGAUCAUGCAUAUAUGCAUGUGAAACGAACGUUAUGUGAUGAAUGCUCCCACGGGAUGAAUGCAGUUUAACGGAGAGAAACCCCGUGGGUUCCGACGAUGGUAAACGCCUACAUGUGAUUAUUUCUGCGGGAAUGAACUGUAUCAUAUUUCUUUUCCCAUCGUCGCUAGACACGGUUACUGAGUACGCGCGGAGACAAUAUAGGUGUGACCACAGGGGCUUAGUCUGGCCCAAUUUCCGCUACGCUUAAUGUAGCGUAGCCUGGUUCCCGAGGCCUUCCGAUGUGCAAGCACGAAGGCCAGGCACUCACUGUCGAAUGGAUUCUUCCACUGAUCAAAAUCCAAUAUGGCGGACUCAAUGAUAAUUUUCCAUACAUAUGGAAAGAAGAAACAUAUGAUAGUGGGUGAAAAAAACACCCUCAUAUAUAAUGCUUCAUGAAUAUGCAAAACCAUGCCAACAGUCUACAGACUCCAGAUGGAAAGAGAUGGAGAAAGAAUUUCUAAAGGGGUAUUCAAGGACCCAUCCUCCUCCACACUAAUUCAUAUUGGAAGGAAUUGACAUCCAACUUGAAUAAAGAAUUACAGACUUCCAGAACAGGUGCAUCAUGCAGAUCCUUUUAAAAAGGAGAGGCCGGAUCUUCAGAUGACUUUAUUGAAAAUGAGAAAUUUCUGAGUGGAAGUGACGAAUGUGGCAUGCAUACAAGCAGACAUCAGCAUUCCCUCCCUCUUGUUAGUAUCAGAGGUGAGCUUUUUGAGAAAGACUCAUGGAGGAAGUUUGAGAGUGUCAGUUCUCAGAUCAAAAAGUUAGCUAGCAGUAGGAGGAGUAGCAAUUCAUUCAACAGUAUGACAUGAGAAAUACAUGACUAGAAAGACCUUAAAAAGGAGAUUUGUCAUUGUUUCAUGUGGAGAUUAAAGAACCUUCGAAAUAUAUAACACAGACAUGUUUCAGUUACUUGGGGAUAACACUUAUGAGGAAUUUUGCUAACUUUCAGAUUGGAAUGUGUUGCACAAGAAAUGCUUGAUCACAACCCUCUUCUGUUAAAAACCUUUUCCAUGCAAAUAGUGUAAAUGAAAUUUAGCUAUUUCAUUAGUAAACAUGUUUUCUGCGCAAGUGUGUGUCUUUGACAUUAAAUGCUAUGAUAUUGUCGUAUUCUUAAACAAUGGAAGAUCUCUACUAGUUCUUUCAAAGGAAAGCCAACAACAGGAAUCGAACCUGUUCCUCCAUCGUACAGAUACGAAAGUGUGCACCAUUACACCAUGUUGGCAUACAUUAAGAACUGGUAGCCUUGGAGAGUAAAUAUUACAUUAUUCUGUACAGUUGAUACUGGUUUGUGUGAUAUAUGUAUAAAUAUAUAUAUAUAUAUACAAGUAUAUAUAAUGUAUGCCUCAUGUUUGGUAGUCGUCAAUAAAGCAUUUGAAUUGAA